CUAUCUGCAGGAUGACUGGUAGAUGGCCUUCUGGAUCUGGGGGUUCAUCCUCCUGCCCUUCUCCUAUUGGUAAGUGAGGGGAAUAGCUAUGUAGCAUGUGCUCAUCCGUGAGGUAUGUAUGUUGAGUCUACUGCCACCGGAAUGUGUGUCUAUUCAUGUAUCUUCGGUGUGUUGCUGUGGACUUUGCAUAGCUGAUAGCUGUGAUAUGUGCUCAUUUGUUGCCUGUUACCGGAAGUGAUAUCAGCUGGCUAGGUUUGCAACUGCAGCUUCUAUUGCUGCUGCUUCUGCCAGAGAGGCCUCCACCCCUUUCUCUUUAUAAAACACCACGUGUCGCAUCCUGGCAGCCAUUACUGUUUUUGCUUCAACCUGUGUCUUUGAAAAGGCAGGCCCAGCUCAGGUGGCUUCAGCCUCAGCAUGCACUCUGCUGGCUGCCAUAGUGACGCUUGGUAUGGCGGAAUGGCUGGUUCUAGAUCAGGCUCCUAGGGCUGCAUUAUCCACCUGUAAUGUGGAUGUGUGGCACCUCAGCCCUUGCUUGUGAUACCACAGCUGUUGUCUUGGCCUGAAUGCUGUGUGAGACGGGGCAGCAUGGGAAUCAGGACCUGGGAAGGGGUCCAUACUCAGUUAUCCAGCAGGUGAAACACCUCCACACAAUGGCUCCAGGACACACAGGGUAAGUCUGAGAGUGUUUAUUGUGUAAAUGGUGUGAAACUGAAAAUGCAGAUACACACACUGGUACAAGUACAAGGUAAAAUGACUCUAACAAAAUGCAUUAGGUCAUCCACAUACAUGUAGACGGAUAAAAAUUAGGAUAUGUAUCAACUUGUAUGUAUAAACUUCAGGUAAGUAUGGUAGGUGUAAACUUAAGCACAAGAUCUCACCAGCUCUGUGCAUCGAUAAAAAGCUAAGUACAGAAAGGCAAGUAUUUUAGCUACUAUUAAAAAACUUUAACCUGUCUUUUAACAAGAUAAACUGAUAUGCAGUCAAGUGAAGUGAAACAGUACAAGAAUAUAUUAAUAACAUUAAUCAUUGGGGUUUAACAGCACAAAAUGCAGUCAAAUAAAAUAUGCAUAUUAACUGAACAUUUUUAUUUAUAGGGAAUAUAUUCAAAAAGAGAGAAUUACAAAAGAUUAACGCAUGAACAUUCCAUUGUUGUCUUUCUACCAACAGAGUUUCUUAAUCACUCACUUCCUGAUCCUUGUUCCCUUAUUCACUAGCUUCCUGAUACACUUAAAGGGCCAGUAGAUGUCUCCAUAGAACAUGUAAAAAUAAAUGGCAGGGCCAAAACAAUGCAUCUUAUAAAACGUGCUUUGAAGUUAUGAUGCAUUAUUUCUUUGAAUUAGAUUGGAUUGCAUGUUCCCCCAUUUUGUGAUGGGGUUUCCAACCACAGUACAAAAAACUGGUCAAUUGGAAAUUGCCAGAUUGUCCAGAGGUGUGAAUGGUGAGUGUGCCAUGUGAUGGGUUGGUGCCCCAUUGUGGGUUAUUCCCUGCAUUGUGCCCUUAACUUCUGUGAUAGGCACUGUACCCCCUACAUUCAUCAGUGGGUUCAGAAAAAAAAUCAGCCAGUUAAAUUUUUUUUUGUUGCUUUAGAGCCUGAAAUGAAAACAAAGAACAGAACUGAAGUUGUCAAGCUUCAGUGCAACUAAUAAUAAUAAUAAUAAUAAUAAAUAAUAAUAAUAAAUAACUAAUAAAUAUUCAAUGCAACUAAUAAUUUCCAAAGAGAAAAAAUUGCAUUAGUCCUGAAAAAUAAUCACGAAUGGAAAAACAAGAAUAACUGAGACUGACAAAGAAUCAGCCCCCUUUACCAAUACCUUGUGGAACCCUCUUAGGCUUUUUUUUUUACAGUCUUGAAUGUCUGGAUACUUUCCUACCAACUUAGCACACCAAGAUUGAGCAGCAUAUCUUCCUUACAGAAACUGUUCCAAAUCAGUCAGAUUGGAUGGUGUCCACUGGUGGGCUGACAAGUGCUCCAGUUCCUGCUGCAGAAAACCCCCCCACAGCAGGAUGCUGCACUCACCCUGCUUUACCAUAGGCAUAGUGUUCUUUGGACACUGACCUGUAUUGUCUUUCCGCUAGAUGUUCCAUUUGGCACAGAGGCCAAAGAGUUCGGUUUUGGUCUCAUCUGACCGUAGCACCUUUUUCCACUUGGUCUCAGAAUCAUCUAGUUGUGUUUUGGCAAAGCUUAAACCAGACGUAAUGUGGCUUUUCUGGAAGAGUGGCUUUUUUGAAACAUUCCCAUACAAGUAAGAUUUGUGAUAUUGUUGUCACAUGCAUAUAAUGGCCACUCUUUGCAAUAAUGUCCUGCAACUUCUUCAGGGUUGCCAGUGGCCAUAAAUCUAGGGUGACCAGAUAAUCCAUGUCAUGGAGAACACUUUGAGCUAUGACAGGAUUUGUAAACUACUAUUUCAAUAUAAAGGACCCGGAUUUCACUUAAGCACCAAGUUGCUGUGUGCUGAUUGGUCAGUCUCCUAUAAUCAUGCGUGUCACUAAUGUUAAGGUGGAUUUGUCAAAUCAAGCAAACAAACCAGUCAAAGCACAUGAAGAACUGAACUAAUUAGACAAGCACAGGAGCCUUUCAGUUUUGAAGUAGAUUGUAAAUAGAAUUGAGUUCAUAGUAACUAGUUCUUUUAAGUGACCCAGUGUUAGGCAGGGAGGCACCAUUCAUCUUUUUGACAGGAUGAUUCUGUUUUAUACCCACUGCACAUUGAAGUGAAAUAUGGUUCGUGUUGGUCAUAGUGCAAAUGAGAAUAAAUAGAAUGUAUAUACUGAAACAUAUAAACAUUAUAUAAACAUGACAUUUUAGGAAAUAGACAAAGACAUGCAGUUAACCACUUGACUGGUGGGGAAAGAUUAUGAAAAUCCGGUACAGAUAUUUGGCAUGGAAGCAGAAUGUGCAAAAAAUAAAUAGAAUUGUGAGUUCAUAGUUACUAGUUCUUUUAAGUGACCCAGUGUUAGGCAGGGAGGCACCAUUCAAGCCUCAUUGUGUCCCGGAUUUGAGGCUGCAGAUCCUCCCACCAGACGGCAGUGGAGCAAAGAGGUCAUAGGAGGGCUGCCAUGGCUCCCUGAUGAUGCCAGCAGGCCUCUGGAUGCAGCAACAGCCAUCGUGAACGUCCAGCAGGGAAGGCAGAACACUCCUGCCGACCUUCUCCCGGGCUAUGAAGCCGUUUGUUUGUCGGAACAUAACCCCAUUGUAAUCCAGGGAGAGGCUGUACAGCUACCUACCGAGAGGAGCUGUUCUUUGGGAGCCACAAUGCAAGCAGUAGUUACGACUCAGCUUUCCCUCCUCGCAGAGGGCAUCCACCGCUUCCUCGUCAUACAGGAAGGCAUCGACAAUGGGAACCUGCCUUCUGAAGAGCGAGGGACUCCGAGGAAAAUGUGGCUUCUGGUGGCACGCUGGUCCUGAGAUCUUCUGCGAUGCUCUGGAGUACAACUUUCUCAUUGUCGAUGAAGUAAUUGUCCAG